GUAGGGAAUAUUGGGCAAUGGUCGGAAGACUGACCCAGCCAUGCCGCGUGCAGGAAGACGGCCCUCUGGGUUGUAAACUGCUUUUAUCUGGGAAGAAAAAGGCCAUGCGUGGCAAAUUGCCGGUACCAGAUGAAUAAGCACCGGCUAACUCCGUGCCAGCAGCCGCGGUAAUACGGAGGGUGCGAGCGUUGUCCGGAGUUAUUGGGUUUAAAGGGUGCGUAGGCGGCUGAUUAAGUCAGCGGUGAAAGACUUCGGCUUAACCGGAGCAGUGCCGUUGAUACUGGUUGGCUUGAGUGUCGGAGGGGUACAUGGAAUUGAUGGUGUAGCGGUGAAAUGCAUAGAUACCAUCAGGAACACCGAUAGCGAAGGCAUUGUACUGGCCGACAACUGACGCUGAUGCACGAAAGUGUGGGGAUCGAACAGGAUUAGAAACCCGUGUAGUCC
rnacentral:rRNA from 1 species